rnacentral:sRNA from 1 species
AGCAGCCGCGGUAAUUCCAGCUCCAAUAGCGUAUAUUAAAGUUGCUGCAGUUAAAAAGCUCGUAGUUGAAUUUCGGGAUCAAUAUGUUGGUCGUGCCUCGGUACGUACUAGCUUAUUGGUUUCUCCCUUCUGACGAACCAUGAUGUCAUUUAUUUGGUGUUAUGGGAAAUCAGGACUGUUACUUUGAAAAAUUAGAGUGUUUAAAGCAGGCUCACGCUUGAAUACAUUAGCAUGGAAUAAUGAAAUAGGACGUUUGAUUCUAUUUUGUUGGUUUCUAGGAUCGACGUAAUGAUUAAUAGGGAUAGUUGGGGGCAUUAGUAUUCAAUUGUCAGAGGUGAAAUUCUUGGAUUUAUUGAAGACUAACUACUGCGAAAGCAUUUGCCAAGGAUGUUUUCAUUAAUCAAGAACGAAAGUUAGGGGAUCGAAGACGAUCAGAUACCGUCGUAGUCUUAACCAUAAACUAUGCCGACUAGGGAUCGGAUGAUGUUAAUUUUUAAUGA